AAGUGGUGCGGUUGUUUGGUUGUUGGCUUGUUGCCAUGUUCACAUAGAAAUAUAUCAAUUAUUGCGAAGACACUUUGGCUAGCAGAGACUCAGGCGGCUAUUCAACAAAAUCACCCCACUAUUUGUAAUUGUUUCUAUAUUUUAUUUAGAUUUAUAUUUGUAAUUAUAUAUAACUCUAAUUUACAACAUACUUAUGCAAUUACUGGUUGUACUUCAUGCAUUGUUGGUUUAGUAUGCUUUUAAUGGUUGUAAAUUGUGCUUCAAAUGUUAUACCAAUUGUUAUCUCACUAAUAAUUGGGCUUUGCUCCAUACCAGCCACACACGUCACAAUUCACAAACACAAAUAAUAGAAAGACUUCCAGAAGUUUUAGAGAGAGAGAGAAGAGAGAUACGGUGGAAGGACCAUCUUUUCUGGUGGUGAACCCGGCUGCGCACGAUAGCGCCUCUCACUUCCGACGCAUAAACGACUGCCAUGGUGGUGGUGAGUUGUGGAGCUGUACUUCGGAAACAAACCCGGGCCGGUCAAUGAACCCGGUUCAAGGCGUUUGUGGUGGUGGAUGAUGGUAACAGGCACGUGGGUUUGGGGGUGAAGUGUUCGAAGGAGGUUGCGAUUGCUAUUAGGGGUGCGAUUAUUCUAGCGUGUAUUCCGGUAAACUAUGACGAGUCUCCGGCGAAGAUCCGUGUAAAGAAUUUUGACAGUUGAUAUCUAUUGAAACCAACAGUUCAAAGAGGCAAGGUAUGAAGAUUUGACUCAAGUUAUUGGUUUUUGAGCUGAGUGGGGGUUGCUACAAUUUAGUAAGGUUAUCUUAGAUCAUGUGCAAACAAAAUGUAAACAAAUAGUUAUACAAGGGUACACUGAUCCACAUGUCAUAUCCGACCCAAUUGAAGCAAUAAGUCAUGCUACAAAGCUUUUGCGGCUUCAGCUGAACAACCGGGAACACAUACAACCGUGGUUAACACAAUUAGUUGUAAACCAAAUCUUCGAUGCGACCAUCUCUCGCAUGACACAUCCAUACCUACUGCUGCUCUUUUCCAACUAGAUCAUUGUGCUUAUUAAGCAGAUCUUUUUAACCGUUUCUCCAUUUUCAUGCAGCAAAUCAAAACACGUGACAAGGCCCACUUCUUUUUAUCUUCAAGACUUCAAUUAUGUACAGGAAAAGGAAAUUUGUUGAAAAAUGGAAAGGAGGACCAUGGUGUCUAUGGUUUAAUCCAUGCAAACCAUGGUGGAUCAAGCAAGGGGAUGGUGUAGCCUUUCAAUCAUGUUCCUAAGUGGCAAAUCAUGUUCCAAUCAUGACAUCCAUACCCUUUAGUUUUAUGGAGUGCCUAUCUAAUUUUGAAAAGAAAAACACUUUUAUAAUUAUAUAUUUGUUUACUAUAUAAUAUUUGCAUUUGCAAGAUACGAUGAAUAGUGAAUUAAUUUGAUUGAUCCACUUCUAAAUCUAUGAUUUUGUGAAUACUACUUUUUACCUAGUUAUCUAUAAAUUAUAAUAAAUCAAAUCUAUCUUAAGCUACAUAGCUUUCUCUUAAACAUUUAAUUGUCACGUGGCAAUAUAUUGUGAGUCAUUGAUUGAAUUUGAGCGGUAAAGAAAACAAGGGUAUUCAAGACCUUUUUUCUCUCUCAUGUUAUUAAAUCCCGUAUCAUCUUUUCUUUCAAUCAAAUUCGAGUUUUCUAAAUUACUAAUUUGCUUCCUUUUAAUCUUUUUUUCUUUUAAACCUUAAAUCGAAUUACAUGUGUAACACCUCGAAAAUUCCUGUCCAUUGGAAUAAAGACACGUGUCAUGAGGGAUAGACGUGUCAGAAAAACCGGAUUAAAUAAAAAGAUGUUUGGUAGGAUUUUAAUAAAAAGGGCGUCAUGUUAUUUAAAAUAUCUCUGAACGACCCAAGGGCGACAUGUUAUUAAAUCACCUCUGAGCGACCCGAAUUUCUAUAAAUCCCAAGAUCCUUAAAUCAAUUGAUAAUCAUCUUAUAUGAUAACCGGUUGUUUCCAAAUAAAUCAAGUUCCAUCUUUUAUGUGGGCUCGGAUUUUUGGCAGGAUUAAUGCUACUAAAAUUGCUAAUUAAAAACCUUGUGAUUUGGAAUCAAAAUGGUUAUUUAGUUAUUCAACCUUGAGAGGAUCCAAAUACUUGAAACUUUGAAGUUUCCGUCAAAUUAAAACUCUUGCAAGAGGCCAAGAAUUGUAAGAGCAUGCUAGGCAUGCAAUGGCUGAACAAGAUGGUCCCACAUAUGAAAAAGAGGGACUGAUUUAGGAGUUGGUUUGAGUGCAUUGUCAAGACUUAAAAGUUUACAAAUUUUUUAUCCUCUGGCCAUCGGUUACGGACCGCAAAGCCUUAGGCUUACGGUCCGUAAGGAGGGUACCUGGGCAUGUUUCAGCAAGGUCGGUUACGGACCGUUACCAUUUCAGCUUACGAUCCGCAAGAGGUCCUUACGGACCGUAAGGCCUCAAGCUUACGGUCCGUAAGACCGUCGCUGGCAGCAGUUUUUGGACAGCUUCCUGUUCAGCCCGUUGCACCGACUUAAAACGAUGGUUUCUGAAUUCAGGGGCUUGCUAGGCGGUAUUUAGCCCUCUAGGGACACCUGGGGUGAUCCCCCAACCAUUGUAGACUUGCUUGUCUUAAUCUUGGACCAUCUAAGUUCACUAUAUAAGGGCAUGAGGUGUGACCAUUUUCCUUUGCUCACUUUGGACUUGGGUUCAAGACUUCUCUGGAGCUUCUCUGGACUACACCAAGUUUUCUUAGGCUCCAUAAUCCUCCUUAGGACUCUUGUAAGUGCCCUUAACCUCCCUUAAUCCAUUCUAGCUUAGUUAAUUAAGUAAAAGUCAAACCGUCGUAAUUAAGGUUUGACUUUGUGAUUAAUUAAAAUGUGCUCUGUCAAAUCACGAAUUAAAAAUACCUUUAGGAAGGUAAUUAAGUGGGUAACAAACCCUUAAAAGGGUAUUUCCAGAUUCCCACUCUAAGCAUGUCAAUUGUCGAGUCAAAGCUAACUAUAAAAAGUCAACAGAACGCUUAAAUUCAAAUUAACUUAUAAUUAGCAACGUAGGAUGCAUGCAACCUGUUUUAUCAUUAAUAUAAUUUGGUAAAUGAUGUAAGAACAUGUUCAACUCGACAAUUUUCUGUUUAGACCCGGUUUGGAACCGAAAGUCACAUAGUUUGACUUUCGCUUUGACUUUCAGUUCUGACCCAUUUUAGGCAAGAUUAAGAUUGCCUUAGAGCUUCUUUUGGACCUAAUAACAUGUUAGUAUAUCCUCCUGUGAUUAUACAACUUGGUUCAUUAGAUAUCUUGUUCACAUGCAUGUUUCCGUUAAAUGCCCAUAUGUUCACCAUUAUGCCCAAAUGUCUAAAAAUCAUGAUUUUUGAAAAUGUAAAAGGGUAGAUGUAACACCCCAAAACCCGAAUGGUUAUAAUUGCCAUGUGUUCUUAUACGACUUAGCAUGAAAUAAACAACUAGGUUAUUUAACCUAGUUAAGUAACGCCCCAAAAACUCGAACUACUAAAUUUGCUAGUGAGACCCCAUGUUUAAUAAAAUAGAAUGUAGUAACUAGGUUAUUAUACCUAGUCAAAAGUUUAGCAAAGCAAACAAGGGAACAAACUUGAGGGACCAUAUAUGAACAAGGGGGAAAGUUAUGUUUUAAUAAACAAAUCAUAACACACAACACACAUACAUCGUGUGUGUGUGCGUGGAAUGCUCUGGAGAAGAACAAAGGGGUGUAAACCCUAGUUCUUAAAGAAGCUCCAAAUUGAAGGUUGAAUCGAGGCUCAAAUCUAUUAAGGAACAUGAAUUAGUGAUCACCUAGACAAGGGGAUCGUGAGGUAUGUCUUGAAACUUAGAUUGAUGAACUUGUAUGAAGUGGGUUAUGUUCCAAUCCACGAAUUGGUAUGAAAUUGAUCAUUUAUAUGUGUUAGAUUCACCAUAUAGGACAUGGAUUAUGCAUGGUUUAGGUUAAUUUGAUGUUUAGGGGUGAAACCCGUUUGUUAUUGUGAGGAUGAUGACUUGAGUCACCACCUAUGUCCAAUUCUUGUUGAAAGAUUGAUGUAAUAUGCGGGUAUGAUGAAUUGUUGUUAGGUGAUUGAAUGAAAUGCGAUGAUAAUAUGUUUGAUGUUUAAUUUUAAAUACUACUUGUUGAUGAGUAGAAGGAUUUGAUGAACUAUGUAUGAAUUUAGAAGAUUACGCAUGAAUUAGUUGUACGUUAUGCUUAAAAGGUGGUACGCACGCCAAGUGUAUGAUGAAAUGCUUAAGUGAAGUUAGGAUGCAAAAUGUUAUUAAAAAGCUUGGUGUAUAUAGGAAUGAAAUACGAAAAUGAUGGUAUGAUCAUGUUAAAUUACUAAUUUGAAUAUGGUUGUAAGCACAUUUGCAUCGAGAGUAGGUAAUGUAUAUGGUGCCUUUUUGUAUAGCCUACUUUGAUAUUACGAGUAGAUGAGAAUAAGUCGAAAGUUCACAUAAUGAAUUGUUGACUUCUGAAAGUCAACUAUGUAUAGGAAGCAUGAUAUGAUUCGUUGCCAUAAAAAUAAGACUAUAGGAAGUCGUAAGUUACAUGUUAUGCCGAUACGUGAUAUUGGUGAUGGCAUGACGAAUUUCACGAGUUCGAAAAAGAUAUGAAUUUGAUUAUAUGUCUUAUGCUUGUUGAUUGUGACUAAACUAAGUCAAACGUGAAAUAUGAGAUUGAUAUGAUUGUUAACAUGUACAAACGAGUAUGCUAAUAAGAGUGUGAUUUCGACGAAAUGGAAGUAUAGGAAUCAAGUCGAGACGGGCUCAAGCACGAGGUGUUAACGGGCCAAGAGGAAGCAAGGGAUCGGAUAUGAACACGGAUGCAUGAGGUAAGUGAUUCCGUAAUCACUUCUUAGUUGUUUAUGUAAUGUUAUAUGCAAUUUAAUUAUAUGUGAUAAUUGAGGUCAAAUAGGAAUGAAUUGUAUGAUGUCAAUGAAGUAUUAAACGGAUCUUAGUUUUGAUCCGAGCAAGGUAGGUGUGAUUAAGAAAUUGUAGCUAAGUAGUGGAAUUGGUUACUUAUGUAAGAAAUUCCUUUGUUAUUAAGGAUAGAGCAUAGUUGACUAAAAUGCCCUUGAUAGAUAUAUCGGGCAAACGACCUUAGAAGUCGUUUGGAAACGAGCUAUUCAAUUAGAGUAAUGUCUUGGACAAGUAUGAAAGCGAAGUAUAGGGUUUUGUAUGUCAUAGUCCACUUAAUGCGCAAAUACCCAUAACGGGUCAAAAAUAAGCCUUUGAGCGAAAAUGGGUUAAGAGGAUGCAAGACGUCCGAGAAUUUAAUCUUUUAUGGUAGGUGCCAAUGAAAUUAUUAAAGUUCAUAUGGGAUUGAGGUCAAAUAAACAAAUUAUGUUGAUAAAUGCACGAACGGGUCAAAUAGUUAGAAAAUGAUAAUAUGUCGAAUGCACGUAAGUUAAGUAUUUCCUUAAUCCGGAGGUAGGAUUUUAAGUUAAUAUGAUAGAAUGUGAAUUUACAAGCAUGUAGGAAGAAACGGGAGGUUAAACGGGUAAACGGUUCAAAAGUUAUGCGCGUUUUAGUGCGUACGGACGACGAAACGGAACUGCAGAAAACUGCAAAUUCUAGAGGGCGUCGCCGACGGGUAUGGGGCCGUCGCCGACGGGCUCCAGAAAGUGAAUUUUUGGCUGACGGGUUAUUUGACUGUCUACGGGGAUUUUUGGCUACGGGUAAUUGCAAGGGCUGUCGCCGACGACCCUAGGGCCGUCGCCGACGCCCUCCCCAAGUUCAAAAACCUAAAAAUUUGUUAUUUAAGUUGAUUUAUGUAUCGUAGGCUUCGGUUUGUUAUCCGUGGACUACGGUGAACUUUCCAAACAUGAUUUUGAUGGUUCCUUAGAUGUAUAUAGGCUAUAAAUCUAAGUCUAAGUCCCAUGUAAAUAUUGUAUGAUUAUAUAAGAAUGUAGGAAAGAUAUGUACGUAUGUGGUUGUGUAUGUAUGUAUGUGUAAAGACAUGUAUGAGUGUAUGCACGUAUGUAAAGUUAUAAGAAAGGUAUGUAUGUAUGUAGAGGAGUAUGUAUGCAUGCAAGAUGGUACGUGUGCGUGAUUUAAAUACGUAGAGUUUUAACGUUACUAAUUAUGCGUUUGAGGUUGGUAUGUAAUGCAGGAACGAGUACAUCGGAUUCUUACGAAAUUUAAGCCCAACCCGGAAUAAGAGGAUGAGUAAGGAUAGUUGGAUGAACUAAUGUUAAAUUGUCAAACGUUAUUCAAUCCUUAAUUAUAUGAGAUUAAUGUUAUAUGAUGUUGUCGUUGACUAACGGAUAAGUUGUAUGUGAUGCCCACAGGUGAUACACGGACUUCUUCUGCUACUUAGGAAGUGAAGCGGACGUAGAUCGAGUCAAGAGCAAGGAUUGCACGGAUAGAUCGAUCAUAUAGUUGAAAUAUAUAACGUCUAGAAAUGUAAAUUUUAGUAUGAAUGUUGUGAAUUAUUUUAUAGAACGUUUAACAUUUUAGCUUUUGGAACCUUCUCGAAAGUAAUGUCGUUAAUAAGGAAAGAAAUUUUAAAGCUCU